UUUUUAUUAGAUGUUGACGGUCACGUGUCACAUUUUUAUUGGAUGUUGACAUUAAUUAAAUGUACAAAAUUAAUGUCCAAUAAAAGCGCGACGCGUGGUGGUCAACGUCC
rfam:Glycine max cultivar Williams 82 chromosome 17, whole genome shotgun sequence.